GACGAACGCUGGCGGCGUGCCUAAUACAUGCAAGUAGAACGCUGAAGAGAGGAGCUUGCUCUUCUUGGAUGAGUUGCGAACGGGUGAGUAACGCGUAGGUAACCUGCCUUGUAGCGGGGGAUAACUAUUGGAAACGAUAGCUAAUACCGCAUAACAAUGGAUGACACAUGUCAUUUAUUUGAAAGGGGCAAUUGCUCCACUACAAGAUGGACCUGCGUUGUAUUAGCUAGUAGGUGAGGUAAUGGCUCACCUAGGCGACGAUACAUAGCCGACCUGAGAGGGUGAUCGGCCACCCUGGGCCUGAGACACGGCCCAGACUCCUACGGGAGGCAGCAGUAGGGAAUCUUCGGCAAUGGGGGCAACCCUGACCGAGCAACGCCGCGUGAGUGAAGAAGGUUUUCGGAUCGUAAAGCUCUGUUGUAAGUCAAGAACGGGUGUGAGAGUGGAAAGUUCACACUGUGACGGUAGCUUACCAGAAAGGGACGGCUAACUACGUG
rnacentral:rRNA from 1 species